rnacentral:lncRNA from 1 species
GGGUUGGCUUGGCUUUUUUUUUUUUUUUUUUUAAUAGGGACUCACAACUUUUACUACUUAAAAAUAAUUCCUUUCUUUGUUUCAUGAAUUAGAAACAAUGAGGAGAAGCUGAAGUCUGCCCAAGCCAGGUGUUUCUUGUUGGCAGCCUGCUCCCUAAUGACUCUGGCUCUCAUACAGCAGCUGCCUGCUAGUCUCUUUUGUAUGGCCUAUUGUUGCUGCACACCCCUCGUUAAUACACAUGCUGCCCGGGGCAGACCCUGAGAAUGACAUCAACUUGCUUAUCUUAGAAACCUCCAAACCUGAUGCAGGGUGGGGAGGUUGCCUUGCAUCUGCCUGGCCAACUAAUUGUGAGCGAUGCGGGUUGUGAUUGGCUCUGAUGCCGCUCGGCAAUAGGUUAAGCAAAGACAUUGCGGGUCCAUCUGUUCAUCCAUUCAUUGUUCUGCUUGCUUGCCUGAAGCCUGCAGCCGCAAUCGUGUUAAGGAGUUGCUUCUGGAACAGCUACAAGAAGCCAAUGUCUGUGUGUUUUCCAGCGAACAUGUUAGGCUGAAGAACAAACACUGUAUACUCCAUGAGCCUGUGUUCCAAGGAUCCUGUAAAGGAAAAACAAAACAAAACAAAGACCUUCAUAUAUCAGUUAGGAGGCAAAGAGGGCAUAUAAAAGGGUUAAAAAGAGGUUUGCAUUUCUACCACAUGCCCUAUUGUGUGAACAUAUGCAUGAGUCUAUUGAAAGUUUUCAGAAGAUGGGCAGGCCACCAGUUGCUGGUCUCCUGCAGUUCCAGUAGACAUCUGUUGCCCCAGAGCAUUAACCAAUCUGUUCAAUGGGACAUCCUUCCUUUGUUAGAUAGAAUGAUGCAGACAACAGCCCUCGCUGAAAUACAAUGGUAAUUAAAUACAUAGAAACUACAGCAGUAGGUAUUUAUUACAUAUUCAUUAUUUUAUUUGCAUUGUUGCAGUAUCUUUACUACAUUCAUUUUUUCUUUCUGAUCAGCUAUGCACUUCUUUUUGUGACACGUAAUUAGAGUCUCAACAAGCUGUGAUCUAAAUAUUUCCCAUUUACUGUUUAGAAGAGUUAAAAAAUAAUAUUCCUGUGUGAAAACAAGAUGAACUAUUUCACUGUAGAAUGUAUCUUGAGAAACUUUGAAGCUCUUUUGAGAAUACACAAUUGCUGUUACGUUUUGCCACAAGAUAUUGUUUCACUCCUUGUUAUGUUUUCCUUCAUGUACUAAAUUUGCAUUAAACUAUUAUGUUCAAUUGUAAGUGGAAAAUAUUCAGAAUAUAUAUUAAAAGAUUAGAUCUAUUUGCCCACAUCCUCUUUAGCAAUAGUAAUGUAUUGUGUGAAAUGGAUUAAUGAGCUGAUUACUAUUACUGUUUAGUGGAAAAUAGUGGUGUCUUAAGAAAUGGAAAAAGAAUACAGUUCUACAGUGUUCAUCCAGAGUGUUACAUUUAUACUUAAUAAAUGUUUUUGACUCAAUAAUAGAGUAUUUUAG